rnacentral:lncRNA from 1 species
GAAAGUCUUCAGUAUUAACUUUCAGUUCAUUUUCUGUAUGCAGUAUUUUGGGAGUUCCUAGUGAACUAAGGAAAGUUUGGGGGUGUUCCAGCUUCAUGCCAAAGCAGGAUUUUAAAAGUCAAGGUUAUGAAUCUUGAAUUUUAAAAGUACUGUGUUAACAAUGCCAUUUUUCAUAUGCCUUUUUAUUUAUAACCUAAAAAUAUUUUUAAUUUGGGGCCUUAAUUCCAACUGUUAAAAAUCAUAAAGCAUUUUCUUUUCAUUUAAGAAAUAUUUAAUCAGUGUAUCGUAGUUGACUUUAGGAAUACUGUGACUCAAAAUGUUUCUCUUUUUCAGUGUUCAGCUUAUAGCUUAUAUUUAAACAAUGUCAUAUUUGUACCUUGCAGUAUACUUUGGU